rnacentral:rRNA from 1 species
CCCUUAGAUGUUCUGGGCUGCACGCGCGCUACACUGAUGCGUUCAACGAGUUUAUCACCUUGCCCGAUAGGGUUGGGUAAUCUUUUGAAAACGCAUCGUGAUGGGGAUAGAUUAUUGUAAUUAUUAAUCUUCAACGAGGAAUUCCUAGUAAGUGCGAAUCAUCAGUUCGCGCUGAUUACGUCCCUGCCCUUUGUACACACCGCCCGUCGCUCCUACCGAUUGAGUGGUCCGGUGAAUAAUUCGGACUGAGGAUUUAGGCAGUCUCUGUCUUUAUCUUCGGGAAGUCUAGUGAACCUUAUCACUUAGAGGAAGGAGAAGUCGUAACA